rnacentral:lncRNA from 1 species
CCAUGCCUGGUCCAGAACAGAAUCCCCUGAUGCUCAGCUAUCCUGUUCCUCCUCAGGCCUGGCUGCUGAACCAAUCCUAACACAGCCAGCAGCCCAAGGUGAUAUCACUUGCUAACUAUGAAGGUUGGGAUUGAAAUGCCUUGUCCUUUCUCAUUUUGCUUGCCAGCACGAUCCCUCAGCUCUAGUCAGGGCCUCUUAUUAGCCUGAGAACUGAAUUUAACCAGAAUAGUAAUAGUUUGCAUGCUCAUCUGACACUAAAAGAGAAGAAUCAGUGGACAGAUUAUUGGCAUGUGGAAUUAUCUCUUUUCAGAUUUUCUGUAAUAGCGUGGCUAUUAAACUAAAGAUCAUUAAUAAUGCACCAUUUAGCUUGUUUUUGAAGGGUGGAGGAAGGACUGAGAAUAUAUGGAUGAAGAGACUGAGGAGAAGAAGCUGGAACUUCUCCCGGCAGCAGGCAGGGAGACAAAGCCCAGCUGUGCCUGUAGCACACUUUGAUGUAUUCGUAAGGCGUUGGGACAGCACAGUCAUUUCCAAAUGUAUUCACUCACAGUGGUAGCCCAGCCAGCUGGCCUGUCUGUGUUCCAAGCUGGGAAAGAUCCGUGGUCAGCAAAAGAUGAUGAUACUGGAACUGGGGCUGUGAAGAAGCCUGACUGCCUGUCUCUGCUACAGCUAGUGUCUCCUGGUGGAAAUUUGCUAAAGGAAGAAACAAGCUGCGCUGAAUGCAACACUUCUACAAAAUACAUUCAAGGCUCACCUGAUGUGACGGACAAAUUCAAAUUUACAUCCCAGCUUUCCAGCUAAGCCCAGGACUGUCUCCUCUUCUCCCUCCAAAUCACACUAGCCAUGGCAGGAUCGCAAGGUUUAUGGAGGUAAGCACCCAUUUUUUCUGACACAGUGCCCAGUGCCUAGGCUGGGAGACCAAGCUGGCAUCUGGGGUCUCUCCAGGGAUUCAUCUGACCUCACCCAGCCUCCAUCUCCAGGAGGUAUUUCUCCUUUUCUGCUGCUUCUCCUUGCUCUCAGACUCUUCCUAUUCCCAGCCCCAACUAGGGGUGAAGUGACCAAACUUCUGGUUUUAAAGCUACAUGCUUGAAACUCUUUUAGACAACAUGGUAAAAGAGGUGAUGGAUCCUGCUGUGCUUGUUUGCUUUGCAGCCUUUUGGAGGCAAUGCCAAGUAAAAUCAAGCCGCAGAAUAAAUCCUACUAACAGGAACACUUUUACAAAUAACCUCAGCUACACAGCUUCCAAGUCCUUGAGCAUUUCCACAUCUCUGCAGCCGAAAACAUAUGUUUUGUAUUGCUUCACAUAAAUCUCCCUGGUUAUUUAUCUACAUAAACCCUUCUAUAAAUUGCUCACUGGGACUUGCAGCAAGCAGGCUCUUUGAUGUGUCUCAACCACCAGGUGCAUCAAUCACUGCUGUGCACACCUUGUUUGCUCCCAUGCAGGGAGAAGUUACCAGUCCCCUUUGCUGCAAAAGGGGGCAAAGAGUCAAAUGGUUUUGAUGGAUGGAUGAAUGUCUGUGGGCUAAAAUUUAUGCCAGAACUUGUUUAUACUGAGUUACUAGCACUCCCUCCUCCCACUUAGUGAUAAAACACUGCUCCACCAGCCUUCCUUAUGACAUAUACUCCAGAUCAAGAGCCUGCACAUGAAUAUUUGAUGUCUUUGUGAGCUCCUUUUGCACUACUGCAUUUCCUAGCAUGGUGGCCAUUUCUCUCUCUACAGGAACAAGUAAAACAUCAGCCUUAUUUUGUGAUGUUAAGGUGGCAUUUUUGUUUUGUUACAGACCUGCUCCACACAGAGGUGGAUCUCACCCUUCAUCAUUAUAGCACAACAUUUAGUUCAGGGAAUGAAUCACGGGUUUAGGUUAGAGUUUAGCUAAGUAACUUCCCCGAUUGAGAGCUGACAUUGUAUUUCACAAGGGAAGUGAAGACUUACAGACAGGUAGGCAAGAUUCAUCACCCUUGAGUAGGCUGUGCUGCUGACAACACAGUGUGAUACUAUCUGGAUCAAGGCAUCACCCUGCCUCAGUUUCCCCAUUCAAAAUUAAAAUGAAUCAGUGCAAUACAUUAACUGAGAGCAUUUACUUUAUGAUGAUACAGAACUCCUGUUGGCCUCAUUGUCGG